ACACACAUCUCCCUUGGACAAGGGAAUAAGUAUGCCCAGGUGCCCCAAAUGAGCUCUAGCACACUGAUGAGAGUGAUUUCAAAGACCAGCCUACCUCCAAAACAUCUAUGCCAAGAGAUAUCUUCAGACGGAUGUGCUGGGACAGUGGGGUUUGAGCAACCUCCUUAGCUACCCAAUUUGUUAUGGGGAAUAAAAGGCACUGGAGUUCUAUUUUUUGAAGAAGGCCAUUGGAACUUGUACAAAGGGCCACUUGAAUCUCCAAGGCCAGACCUCAGUCAUGUAUUGCCCUCACUGCAUUGAAGGAUUUGGCUCCUAGGCCUAGGCUGGUUUUAUCAGUAAACCGUCAGUAUUUUGAAGGUCAUCUGAGAUGGGGGGGGGUGUGGGCAUUAAGAGUCCUAUGUUUGGGGACCUGAAAUCCACAGAGAAUAAAGUCUCAGACAUUGAUAUGCCAGAAGUGAUCUGAGACCUCUUGUCCCCUUCCACUUUUUCUUUUCAGAGAUUAGAAAGCUUACUCUCCAUCAGCCUGUCUUUCAGUAUGCCUAAAGAAUUUUGCCCCUCCUGUCUCUUCAGGGAAAGGAGGCUUUGUCCUCUGUCUCCCCCACCCUCGUCCCCGGGGCUUAUCUCCUUCCCCAAAGAUGUAGCGUGGCCUUUACAUCCAACCUCUUGGUAUUGGUGUUGCUUCCGGCUUGUUUCCCAUCAAGGGUCCAUGCAGACCUCCCACUUUGGCCUAGGUGGCGUGACACUAGCUAUCCCAUGACAAGACUCUUGAUGCCACUUCUGACGGCCCGCCUUUGGAUCCAUUAGUUUAAUAGGCUUCCACAUCUUCUGGAAUGAGAUUCAAUCUUGUUUUACCUUACAUGCCCCGGGGCUGGGGGUGGGGGAGUGUAGAAUUCCCUUUGGGAAUUAAGGCAUCUUCCUGCUCCUGAUUAGAAGGACAGGCUACGUGGGAGAGGUCAGAAGGCACAGCAGAAGUGAGAGCAAACACCUCGUAAAGUAAGGCAAAAACUUGGAAGCGUGAGAACUUCUUAUUUCUGGGUUAAUAACCUGAGGGAUCAAUGACUUUUGCCACUCUCUACCUCCCCUGUGUAUCUCUUUGUCAUUUCUUUCUCUCUCCAGUUUGCUAUGUUUGCUCUCAUGUUUAUACUCAACCGCCACUCUUUCUACAGUAUAAACUCCUGUCCCUUGUCCUCUGCACUUCUCCCUCUCUCCUUUGUUGUCUCCCUUUUGGUUCUUUCCUUCCUCCGUGUCUAGGUAUCGGGUGUAUGCCUCUUCUUGGCCCCGAGAUUUUGCCUUGGUGAUGAGAAGUUAUUGCAAGACUCAACCAGCCCUGAUCCCACCCCAGCCCAGUCAGAAGUAUGGUGGUUGGAAUCGGUCUGAUCCUGGCUCCUUCAACAUUUUCGGUUGUGAUUUCCCAAAGCAGAUCUUCACAAGCAGUUUCCUUACAGCUCAUGUAUCUUUGGGUCUUUGCCUUCCAAGCACUGUACAGAAUAUUCUGUGGUUCCUUUUUAGUCUGCCAUUUUGUGGAGCAGUGAAGUGUGCUCAGAGAAAUUAUCAGCUGAACAGAAAAAUCCGCCCAUGGAUUCAUAUCAGCUUAAUACUACUAACUGAUUUUGUUUGAUUUGCUCAUAGUUUAAAAAGCUGCAAUAUAAUAUAAGGAGAGACCACAGGUAAUUUCUGCUGUCAUUUGGUACGGCCGGGUGGGGGUGUUGGGUGGGGGAAGCAACUCGUUUCAGGUGUUAUCAUGACACAUUAAGCUCUCUGUAAUAACCUUCUUUUUUGGGCUUGCCAACCACUGAAUUCUUUUAGUUAAACGGAUCGGCAAUUGGGGUUGAUUUAAAUGGAAAGGGUAUUUCACAAACCUGUACUAUAGGAAGAAACAUUCACUUCAUUAAAAUGUAGUUUUCCUUCUGUUACUAAGUUCACCUGACAUUCGCUACUGACAUCAACUGUUUCUAUCCCUGUGCGGCAGUCCAUAGACGAGUAAUUAGCAGGCCUAAAGAAGUCAGCUUGUAGGUGCUAAUUUAUUCAAUAGGAUGCACAGCCCUUGGGAAUGUCACCGCUUGGCAAUACGAAAUGGAACACCCUUUCCAAUGGCUUUUCUUUCUAAGUUCUCCUAAAGGAAUUUGAGCAAGUAAGAAGUUAUACCAAAACGUCUCCAAUGUAUGGUCCUGUAAUAUAUUGCAGCUUGAAGCCAAUGAUCCUUUAUGACUUGUACACAACUAAUGCAUGUUUUGAUUGAAGUUUGCAUUUCUUAUGUGUGGUAAGUUCUUUAAAAAAAAAAAGUUUUGGGUCACCUUUUUGUGCCAUUAAACUUGUACAGAAAACACUUUUAUGGCCAUUUUCAAAGGGAGAAAGUUUAAAAUGGAAACAGCCCACCCUUUCUGCCCUAUAGCUGUAGUUAGAACUCAGUAACUGUAGCAAAACAGCUGUAAUUGGUGGUUGUAGUAUUAGAGGCGUUAGCUUGCUAGUGACUAGCUUUGGAGAGUAAAUGCAUGGUAUUGUACAUCACAUUUCCUAAAUAACUCAUUUUAACCUCUGAAAAGAAUAUAUUCUUCCCUGUGGUCCCUCUUCCCUCCCCUGCCCUCUCCCUCCCGCUGCUCCCAGGUGUCUUAUAGUUGUAAAUAACUGAUUUGGGGGCCAAUAAUGUUUGCCAAGUCAAGUCAGCAAAGAACAAACAGACCAAAAAGGGGGGAAAGGCAUUCCUUAACAGCCUCUCGGCAGCUAUUGACCAUUUCUCAAGGAAUGACAUUAUGAUCAAAGACUCAACUGCCCUUUGCAUAAAAACUCGGUGGCAAACCCGGAAUGUGUUCGGCCAUUUGAUUACAUUGCAGGGUCGAAGAGUUCUCGGAAUCACAUAUAAUUGAGAGUGGACAAUGAUGGUCCUUAUCCCUGCCGCAGUUUUGAGGUAUUUGGAGACCUCAGAAGGCUCUCUCUGCUUGACCAAUGACCAAUACUUAUUAAGAAAAAGAAAAACAGAGAAAGACGACAGAUAAAUUAGGGACUUUUUAGCUGCCCCCUUAGAAUAGGUAUAGCCAGAGGAGACAAGGACAUGGGUUGAUAUGUGUUGCUCUCAGUUUCCCAGGCAAUGCCCAGCCUUGCUCUUAGACUGGGAUGCUAGUCGUGUUCCAAGGAAGGCACUCUCCUUUUUGGUUUGCUGUUCCCACUUGGACUGGUAGGUUUGAUGAGGCCCACGUAAACCAGCUGGAGCGGACCCUUUUCAUCUCCUGUGCCUGUUAAUAUCCCUCUCCCUCCCUCCACACUUUCAUGAGGGCUUUCUUUGGUUAGAGGACUUCAAAGUCUAGAGAAGUUCCCCAUGUGUGUAACGUGUUGUGAACUGUGAAUGCUGCGGACUCACAGCAUUCAAUCCCAGGCGGCCGAAGAGCUGCUCUUGCAAUCAUUUUGGCUCUCAAGCUCUGUUCUUCAUUUCAUUCUCAUUUCUGUGUACAUUUGCAAGAUGUGUGUAAUGCCAUUUUCCAAAAAUAAAAUUUGAUUUCAAUA